UGCCUGCGACCUGCGGGCUCGGCCGACGGUUAACCGGCGCCUCCUUCCCUUCCCCCAGAUUGCUUGACCCAAAUGGCCUUGCACCAACGUCUGGUCGCCGCCGAUCCCAGAAACGCGCCACCUUUUCUCCUGUCCACAACGACGUCUCUAGCUCUCUGAAGUUUCCAAAUCCUGUUCAAUCCAAGGCCCCCGGCACCAGCUUUUCGCCGCUCUUUCGCCCACGCCUCGUCGGCGCCCACCGAAACCCGCACGCAUCCUCGUCUGCCCAUAUGGCCGCCGGCCGCCGCCAAAGCGUCAUCUUUUAAUCAGGCGGCCGCCGGGGAGAUGACGAAGAUGCCCGGCCGCCCCGGGACGUCGGGCGGCCUGGUGCUGCGGGUAGGCCAGUUUGUCUUCGCCGCCGCGUGCAUCUGCGCCAUGGCCUCCGCGUCCGGAUUCACCAACUACACCGCCUUCUGGUAGCAGCAAUUCUUUCAUUUGCUGCAGCGUGCUCAGCCGGAGCUGUAGUCGUACUUUUCGAAAGGGAUGUAUACUUCUGCAAGAGGGAUCCCCAACUCCCUUGUGGAAAAUUUGAAGUUGCAACUGCAUUUGCAUUUCUUUCCUGUGCAUGUAGUGCUGCAUCUGCUCUUGUAAUGUUUUGGCUCCUUGCUUCGCUGUGAAUAACUUUGUAUAAGCUCUGUCUGUAAUGCCUCUUUGUAUAUGAGUUCAUUUUUUAGGCAGACCACACAAUGAAUUUUUUUAAAAUUUCUGGGAAUUGAGUUCCUGCGCCCUUCUGUGCAAGAAUAUUUGUCCCAUUGGCACAACUUCAAACAUUUUCCAAAUGCUUUACAA